UCCGUUGAUCGAUCGGACGUCGAUGUCAGAAUCGAUCCCGGUGACAAUGAAGUCGAACUUUGAUACGUUACUCGAACAUGGUGGCGAAGCACGAAAGGCGUUGCUCCAAAGCUUUUUUCAUAUUCGUCGAUGACUAAUUGCAAGCACAAGGGGCAUCUGACGAAUAUAUAUCUAUAUACAUACGGAACAGAAUUUCUUAUGGAGGAAAGCGAUGUAACGCUACUCGAAGAAACACACACCUGUUUUGGUUUUACUUUGGCGGACUUGAGCGUUUCUUACUCCCCCAUCUCUCUUUUUUCCCGCCUUCGAAAAUGCAAGCAAAAUAUCGCAGCGAGCACGACGACGCAUUUACACGGGCCGUAUAUUAAUUUAACGAGAUUAGAAGCAUUUAUACAUAUAGUCAACGUUGUACGGAGGAUAAGAAAAAAGAAAAGAAACUGCCAGAAGAUUCCACUCUAUUUUUAUACUAAUUAAUGGACAGAAACCGAGCAUACCGCGAAAAUCAAAAUUUUUACUUUGCUAACUUUGUAUGCAAUGUUAAGUUCUAAAGAUAUCGACCUAGACUCGCUCAGCGUUCGAUUCAAUCGAGAACGAACUCGAUUCCAUUUCUCGGAACGCUCUUUCACCAUAUUUUCUGGGAAAACAUCUCCUUAGAGGGAAAGAGGCUUCCUUCGAUUGUCCAAUUACGAGUCGUCGAUUAAACUUUCGCCAAUUGGAUCGGUUGUGUCCAGCCUCGGACUUGCUUUACCUCUGUACGUCGUUCCUAAUCGUGCGUUGGCUAUUUCAGGCAAUGUCAAAACGCGCUAAUCUUAUCGCAUCUAUUCGUUCAGUGUGACGCGUGUUUCCUCGUAAACAGUUCUAUUUCGCAUCGUUGCUUGGAUACACAAAUAAUAUAGGCCAAAUAUUUUCGACGUGCAUGAUACGUCAUCUCAGCGUAAGAGGUUAGACUUUUAUUGAAGGGUCGUUAGAACCGCUUGAAAAAGUUUUCAUGAAUUCGAACUAGUUUGAAAGUAUCCUUGGAAGUAAGUAUUACACUGUUCUUCAGAUGUUUGAGAUUAGAUAGGAGAGAACAAAGUUUUGAAUUUAAAAGGAAUUCGGUCGUUGAUAUCAGAUGUUUAAAGCGCUUAAGGCUUUUAACCUAUUAAUCGGAUUAAAUCUAUAAUUAACUUAUGAUCGCAAAAUGGAAGAGACAAAUCAAUCUUUUGUAUUCACGAAUUGGUAGAAUUUAUUUUUAUAGCUGAAAUGAAAUUCCUUAUUCAAAUCUAUAAGUGAAAAAAUUAUGUAAUCUGUAUUAUGUACUCUGAAAGUUAAGUUCCUAUGAGAAGAAUUAAUUCGUUUUCCUCGG